GAUGAACGCUGGCGGCGUGCCUAAUACAUGCAAGUCGAGCGAACAGACGAGGAGCUUGCUCCUCUGACGUUAGCGGCGGACGGGUGAGUAACACGUGGAUAACCUACCUAUAAGACUGGGAUAACUUCGGGAAACCGGAGCUAAUACCGGAUAAUAUAUUGAACCGCAUGGUUCAAUAGUGAAAGACGGUUUUGCUGUCACUUAUAGAUGGAUCCGCGCCGCAUUAGCUAGUUGGUAAGGUAACGGCUUACCAAGGCAACGAUGCGUAGCCGACCUGAGAGAGUGAUCCGCCACACUGGAGCUGCGACGCGGUCCAGACUCCUACGAGAGGCAGCAGUAGGGAAUCUUCCGCAAUGGGCGAAAGCUUGACGGAGCAACGCCGCGUGAGUGAUGAAGGUCUUCGGAUCGUAAAACUCUGUUAUUAGGGAAGAACUAAUGUGUAAGGAACUAUGCACGUCUUGACGGUACCUAAUCAGAAAGCCACGGCUAACUACGUG
rnacentral:rRNA from 1 species